CAAAGUACGAUACCGCAUUUGCUUUUUCGUGACGUGAACAUUUUGUAGGACAUCAUAUAUGGACUGAUUUCGGACAAUAACAUUGUUGAAUACUUGAUUAAUAAUUUACUCAUGCUGGGCUGAGAGAAUCCUCUUCCUCUUCAUCUGUAACGACUGGGUACGUGUUCAUUAAGGGUGAAUGAUGCCCCCUGCUGCCCCCUCUGUUGCUUGAUCCUGAUUGCGGUCUUCCCUCUGCUACGAGAAUAGCAC